UACGGAGGGUGCAAGCGUUAUCCGGAUUCACUGGGUUUAAAGGGUGCGUAGGUGGGUUGAUAAGUCAGUGGUGAAAUCUCCGAGCUUAACUUGGAAACUGCCAUUGAUACUAUUAGUCUUGAAUACCGUGGAGGUUAGUGGAAUAUGUCAUGUAGCGGUGAAAUGCUUAGAUAUGACAUAGAACACCAAUUGCGAAGGCAGCUGGCUACACAAAUAUUGACACUGAGGCACGAAAGCGUGGGGAUCAAACAGG
rnacentral:rRNA from 1 species